UUAUUUUAUGAAACAUAUUCUUUUUUAUUAUUAAAAAGAAAAAAGAUUUCCCCUUUCAAAUCUUGAAGUCCCCGUGGUAUUUUGGAGUUGAACUCAAGGAUAGUUGAUUGUCCUGUAGCAUCAUCAGCUGGUUGUUUAGAUCGUUUAUUAUUUGCUUACAUUGUUACAAUAGGAUAUUUAUAGUUUUUGAGUUCAGGUAGCCUGAUGGGGUGCCCAGUUGGCUAGGGCGAGUCUUGUAAUGUGUGGUAGAGGUGCACGACCUUGGUUGAAUGCCUUGAUUACCCAGUGUUGGUGCUGGUUAUGGUGGGUAUAGUUAGCACCCCGAGGUUGGGCCCGUUGGGGUUCUCGUGGAGAGUCCCAAGGGCUCAAACAUGAAAGGUUCCACAGUAAUCCAAAAAAAGUAAAAUUGAGUUUAGGCAUUUGUUUUGGAUUGAUUACUACACAGUGAGAAUUAAACCCUAAUUAAUAGUUCUUAUUAGCCCCUUACUGUCUAAUGAAUAAGCUCACAAACUGAAGUUUUGGUAACUAGUCUUUUCUCCUUAAGAGUGUACAAUGUCGACAACACACAUGGGUUAUGCCCUUAUCUGUAAUUUUUCAAAAAUAUGUAUUUUUUUGUUGGGUUUGAUUCAUGCUCAUGCAUGUUACCAGAAAUCUGUGCAGUUUGAGGAAUUCACAGUCCUAGUUUAUGUACAUGCAUAUUCUCGUUCGAAAAUUCAUGUUCUCUUGCUUUCAUUCAUUUGAUUUUUCAAACAGUUUUGAUUCCUAAAAUGUGUUUAUGCAUUCACUUGAUUUCAUCACAUGAAUAAAUCUAUGUUUUUAUUUGAAUUUAUAGCCCAAAUGCAUUUAACUCAGAUGAUGAUUACUAAUGUGUUGCCUUUGUUUCUUCUAGUUUCUUCACUUUGCCCUCUUUCUUAUUUUCAAUUUGGCAUAUGGAAUUGAUUCAUGUCCAACUGGUGCUCCUUGAUUGAGGGAGUAAUCAACAAAAUUUAUAACCUAUAUCACCAUGCAUUAGGAUAGCUUUAGCUAGUAUAGCAUAGUGGCUCUAGGAUCGUUCACUGGGAAGGGUUUUCAACUCACAAUUGAUACCAAUUCAAUGUUAAAUUGGUGCUUUUUCAUUUCAAGAUUAGCUUAAGAAAGAAAACACAAACUUUGGUUGAACAAGGUUUUGUUUCAAGCUAACUAAAAAGAAAGUAAUGGAAAUUACUUAUGAAGAAAAACAUUCCUUGGAGGUUUAGGUUCACAGGGGAGGUUUCUCAUGCAAAAACAGAGCUCCGGUCAUUUGGUUCAUUUCCUCGCAUUAGAGAAUUAACAUAUAGUCAAUUCUCUAACCGGUGUUGUACAGAUGUAUCCUUUAAAUGGAUUUCAGCUCUAAUUCCCUCUCAUUGAUGCAAUUUGCAAUGGCUCGUGCUUCUCACCUAGCAUUUGCCAUGCAAGGUAAUCAUUAACUUUGGAAUUCCCUUCUCAAGCUCGCAAGAGAUAACUAAUGGAUGUCUCCUUGGAGUCCAAAAGCUUACCAAGUGUUGGCAAUUCUAGAAAAUCCUACCUUCAAGUCACUUCCCAAAAGCUCGCAAGAGGUAAACUAGUGCAUCUCCAUGGACGGAGAUCACUUGCCUUACCAAGUGUUGGCUCGAGUGAAUUGAAGGUGUUUUAAGUUAACUAAAAACAUAGAAAUCAUUAAAGGAUAACACUUUCUCUUCAUUAAUGGCUGAAACCACAAAGCUACUAAUUCUUGCACUUGGAACCUUUCCCGGCAACCUUAGCUCCAAGAAACUAAAAGUCUAGCCACUCAUUCUUUGAGGAAAAUUCCUCAGAGCUUGUUUGGCUAGUAAGAAAAAUUAGAUGAAUAAAAAAAAUCAAAACAAGUAGGUAAGGCAGAGAAAAAACUCUCAAUUUUACUUCUUUCCAAAAACUAUACAAAGUGUCUGUGUACAAGCCUUGUUUUUCAUCCGUCCCCUUUGUGAGGAAACUUACAACCAUUAAAUAUGGGUUUAUUUACCCUUUGUUCUUGCUUAAAGACUAAGGAAUCCUAUGAUAGGUGGGUUAUAAGGAGAGUUUGGGGAUCUAAACGUCAAAUAUCUAAAGCAAAAAAUCUCAAAAUGUUGGUCGUAAAUAUCGAGAAGCUUCAGGAGAAAUUCCAUUGCACUGUGCAAAAUGGCUGUGAAAUUUUCGCAGCAAAAGGACAACAUUUUCGCAGCCCAAGGCUGAUUUCGCAGUCGUGCAAAAAUCUUCCUUCAACUUGGAGUGAUCUGCUUGCAAUGGCUGUAACUCCUUCAUUUCAACUCCGAAUCAUGUACCGUUUGAAGCAUUGGAUUUUUGACUUCCUGAGCUUCGAAACGACAUAUAGCAUACAUAAAUUGAACUCCCGAAAGUGCUCCAAAAGUGGCUGAAAUGACUAUCAUCAAGAAUGCUUCAUGGCUGGUUCUUCUUUGCUUCCCCUCCUUGCAUUCUAGAUUUGCUUAUGGCAAAGGACUUUAAAGCUUCGGUUCUUCAUGUUUCUGAGAUUUCCAUUGAUUUUUCAUGGAUUCUAAAGAACUCUCCUCAAUCUCGGAUUGCUUUGGUGAUCAAAUUACUAACAAAAACACCAAAACUUACACACUUUGAUUAGAAAUGAUUGCAAAGGUCUUUAAUAUGUUAAUUGGGUUAAAAGGUGAUAACUAAUACUCAAAAGUGUUUAAAAGAGUUAAUUACAAGCUAUCAAAUAGCACUUUUUGAGUAGUAAUCAGGAAUUGUCUACUUUAUUACAUGUUUCUGUUUGUGGUUUCUGGUCUAUGUUUGUGGGUGGUUUACUAUUUCUCUUUGUCACUUUUCAGUUUGGUGGGGAAAGGGUGAUUGGGAUAUUUCUUGGUACUCAUAUUAUAAUUUGAGAAGAGCACCAAAUCAUCACUAUGAAUGAAUUAGUUCUUUAAUUGUUGAGAUUUGGUUUUGAUUUUUUUAAGUGUUUUUUUGUUAGCUGGAUAGUCUUGGUUGACUCAUCUAAUUUCUUUAAUUCUUAGUUCAUCCAUGCCUGAUUUUUGUAUGUCUUAUUCAUACAUAAUUAUAUUUUAUUCUUAGUGGAAAAGCCUGGAAGAACUCGUCUUCUGAACAACUUUCAGUAAUGACUGAGUUGAGUUCUGCAGCUUUUUUCUUUUAUUUUCUUUUCUUUUUUCAACAUAGUUUGGGUCAUUUUUUGGCUGGUAAAAAAUUCAGGGACUACAAAGUCGUCCAAUUUUGGUUUCUUGCGGGUUGUGUCUGUGCAACUUGCAAGUGGUUUUUCUUUACACUUGGAGGCUUGUCGGUACAUGCUUGCUUUUGUGUCGAAGAGGCGUUAUGCUCUAAGCUGAGUUUAUGGGUUUUUGUUUGGUAGUUCGAUUGAAUUAACAUGUUCACGUGGGAUUUUGUUUUAAGGUUUUAACUUCUACUUCAUUUCCGUUUCCAUUUCCCGAGUUUGUCCGAUUUCGAGUAUAAACGAUACAAAAAAGGCUCAUAAGUUAAAAAAAAAUUAUAAAAAAUUCAUGUAAGGUACUUAGAGUCUAUUUAGUAGUGAUUUUAGGAAGCGUUUUUAAUAUUUUUAAUACUUGAAAAUUUGUAUCAUUCAGUAUUAUAAAUGCUAAAAACACUUUCUAGAAUCACUCUCAAACGCACUUUUACUUGUAUUGUUUCAAUUUGUUUAUUGUGAUGUUUUUUUAAUGGGCUGAUGAUGAUUUGAACAUAUUUGAAUUUCGUACUAAGCAAGUUGAUCAAUGAAAUUGCAUUGCUUGCAUUAGUUUUUUAGGUGGUGGAUCUUUGAUUUUUGAUUGCUCCUCAUUAUACAUUUUUCUUUUUAAUUUGAUUGCAUUGCUUGCAUUAGAAUUUCAUAAAGCUUGAUAUUUGAUUGCUCCUCAUUAUACAUUUUUCUUUUUAAUUUGUUAAUAUGCUCUAUAUUUUUGGCUACAGAUUCGAAGUUUGGGUGUUGGAAAUUUAAGGCUUUCCUGUAAAGUAAUGCUUCAAGACGGAGGCAAGAGACUUGGUUGUAGAUAUAUACAUGAGCAACUUAAUUUAAGUUUAUGUAUAUUGUCUUAUAGUGUGUUUUUAGUUUCCUUGUAUAUUAUAUGAGUUUCUUUUAUAUAGAGAAAUUGGGGACAACUUUAAACAAGUUCAUUGAUUUGUGCUUUAAUUAAUAAUCAAAUGUAUAUUAAAUAUGUUUUGAUUAUAUAUAAAAUCAUGAUAAUUUGAUUGUCAUUAUCAUU
rnacentral:lncRNA from 1 species